GGUGGGAAGGAGGACAUCCGGGAAUGUCCUCCAGGCUUGAUCAGGACAGCUU
rnacentral:sRNA from 1 species